GUUUUGUUUCAAAAGAAGCUGAAGGAAGCAACAAAAAUCACCGUUAAAAAAACAGGAGUUUGGGAAUUCCGACGGAGUUCAGACGGUUGUUCGCCGACACAAAAGGCAAACCACGUUCCUAACGCGACGGACACGUUUCCUCAGACUAGACUCCAAAGAGAAUUCAGAGAAGUAAUGUGCUACACGUUGUUAUGUUGAACAUAAUGACAACCUAACAAAAAGGCAUUCACGCGGACAGCUACGUUUUCUCUUCCCGUUUUCAACAGCUGUCGUCACUACGACAACAACAGACGCUUUUGGCUGACGGUCGCCAGUUAACAUGGACUCUCGUUAAACCGGAUAACCGAGCAUUCACGCUUUGCAAAAUCGCCGCCGCAGACCGUCUGGUGGGCGUUCGAUGUCCGACCGGAGAGAUCUCUGGUUCUGAUUAACGGUCUAUGGUUCUGACCUGCUGAGCUUCGUAUAAUCUUUAUGAGAGUCAUGAAGAGGCUUGUGACUGGGAUGCAUGUGGGACAGCAGAGCCGGUGGUGACACUGUCACAAGGGGCAGAGGAAGAAGACCGGGUUGUUACUUGAAAAG